rnacentral:misc_RNA from 1 species
UUUUUUUAAAAAUUAAAAAAAAAAGAAAAAGAGGUAAGGGAAUAAAUAAGAUGGAUAAAUGAGGCGGAGGAAUAUAGCGAUAUUGUUUAUUGGUAAAAUGGUCCAUUUUAUUUUCUAGUGGGGUAAAUUUCAUCCAUGGUACAUGAAUUUUAGGGUUGGUAACACUACGGUACAUGAAUUUAAAAUUUCACUUAAAACUUCGUAAACUACAAUAAAUGUCACUUUAAACCCUAUACAGCCUAUGAUAACCGGUUUGAAAGUAAAAAGAUGAUGUGGCAUGUCCAGGUAAGAUUAAGAAUCAUCUAUCCCUUUUUGUCUCUCCUCCAACGUGUGUUACUUCACUCUCUCACUCUUUCAUCUAUAUUUUCUCUCUUUUCGAUACAGCAGGUUGUGUUCCUUCAAUUUUUUUCAUCAUCAGGCUUAUUCUUCAUCGCAAAUAUCACUUGAAAUCCAUCGAUUAUUUCUUUUCAUGACUCAUUCUUCAUUGUCGACCAAGUAUUUUACCUGACACGUAGAACGCAGCUUCUUUUGUCACUAUUCGCUUGAAUGCUAUUUUUCUCAUCUUUAUUCUCUCUCUUUCUUGUUGUUCCCUCAAUUUGUCAGUUCACUCUUAGUUCAUCGAUUCAUCAGUUUGCUUGUUAUUCCCUUGAAGGAUUGUGAGUUUGGUCAUUAUUUUUCUUACGAAUUUUGGCCCAGAACCCAACAUUACUAAUCAGCU